UCCAGACUCCUACGGGAGGCAGCAGUGGGGGAUAUUGCACAAUGGGGGGAACCCUGAUGCAGCGACGCCGCGUGGGUGAAGGAGCGUUUCGGCGCGUAAAGCCCUCUCGGCAGGGAAGAAGGAGGACGGUACCUGACUAAGAAGCCCCGGCUAACUACGUGCCAGCAGCCGCGGUAAUACGUAGGGGGCAAGCGUUAUCCGGAUUUACUGGGUGGAAAGGGGGCGCAGACGGCGAUGCAAGCCAGGAGUGAAAGCCCGGGGCCCAACCCCGGGACUGCUCUUGGAACUGCGUGGCUGGAGUGCAGGAGGGGCAGGCGGAAUUCCUGGUGUAGCGGUGAAAUGCGUAGAUAUCAGGAGGAACACCGGUGGCGAAGGCGGCCUGCUGGACUGCAACUGACGUUGAGGCCCGAAAGCGUGGGGAGCAAACAGGAUUAGAUACCCGGGUAA
rnacentral:rRNA from 1 species